rnacentral:rRNA from 1 species
UAGGAUUAGAUACCCUAUUAUUUAAAAUGUAAUUAUAAAAUCUUGAGUAGUAAUAGUUAUGGUCUUGAAACUUAUGGAAUUUGGCGGUAUUUUAGUCUAUUCAGAGGAACCUGUCCUAUAAUCGAUAGUCCACGUUGAAUCUUACUUAAAUUUGUUUAUCAAUUUGUAUAUCGCCGUUAUCAGAAUAUUUUAUAAGAAUAAUAAUUUUCUAAAUUUUUAAUUAAAUAAUGAUGUCAGGUGAAGGUGCAGUUUAUGUUUAAGUAGAGAUGGGUUACAAUAAAGUUAUUUAUUACGGAAAUGAAAUUGAAAUAUUUAAUGGAAGGUGGAUUUGAUAGUAAAAUUAUAAAUAUAGUUAAUUUGAUUAUAGCUCUAAAAUAUGCACAUAUCGCCCGUCGCUCUUAUUAUUAAGAUAAGAUAAGUCGUAACAUAGUAGAUGUACUGGAAAGUGUAUCUAGAAUGA